GGCCUUUGUGUUGCCCAUUCAUUCCUGCCCAGAGUGAGUGAGGUGUCAAAAAAGGCAAACAGGAGUUCCUGCUCAAACUCUUUUAAGGAGCUGAUUAUUUGUGUUUCUCCUCCCUGUUUUUGCAAGGACAAAAAA
ensembl:snoRNA